rnacentral:lncRNA from 1 species
AUCUCUGCGUGACUUCCGCCAGCGUUUAGAGCGUUUUCGGGGUCCGAGUUGAAGAGCAAAACCAAGUGAAGGAAACUUCACUAAGUUCAGGGUGACAAGGGAGGAAGUACAGAGACUGCACUUUAAAUUCUGGAUGACAGACCUAUCAGGACUGAGUGGACCUUUGAGUGACAAGAUGGGGGUGUUCCAAAGAGACCAUGGCAGCCUGCAGCUAGGACUUUAAUAAACAGAGCGCUUAAAAAGCACUGUCUGGAUAUCUUCAGAGGGAAAAAGGAGAAAGUUAACUGAAUUGGUGACACUUCGGGUCUCUCACAGAGGAAGACCUAUUAGAGUGCUAAGGAGAAGACAAGUUAUUAGCACCCAAAAGAAGCACCAGUGCGGAUGGAAAUACAAGGUUGACAUUCGCUGAGCUGUGUUUUUUUUUUCCAGGGAAAUGGUUAUUCUUGAUAUUUUGAGCAAACUCUUCUUCUCUGAUCAGUGCCCAGAACAAGGAAACAGACCUUCUCUUUCCAGUACCUCCUAUCUAUCUAGAUAAUACGGAAGCCAGGGAGAAGAAUGGGAACCCAAGAUCUAUGAGCCCUUAUGGCAUAUGAAAAGUGGGUGUUAUCUGAAAAGUAGAACUCUAGAUGAAACCAGGCCUUUCCCAACAAUGGAGCCCAGGACAAUGCUGUCUUCAAUGUCCAUACCAUUAGACUUGUUAUAGAUGAGUUUCUAUAAUGAUGGCUUUCUGGUUAAUUAAACCUUCUGAAUGAUUCUGUGUAACACUGACUUCUGUGAUUCAUCACAGAACAAGUCUUCCUUCUUUCAUGGAGUAUUACUGUUUUCAGUGACUAUAUUUGGUUGUUUACUCUUUUUGGCACCAAUCACCCAGUGAAUCAACAACCAGAGUUGCAAACAAAUUACCCUCAUUGUCUUUUCCGAGUCCCUUAAUUUACUUUAUUUUUCAUUUGUUGCAAAUGUCAUUGUUUCUGCUAAUGUUGUUUUUUAACAUCUGCCAAGAUAAAAAAUAAAAAAAUCACUUGUAA